AACAACAACAACAGAUAAUUGUUUAACACAUUAUCUUUUCAUAAAAGGAUUUAUUAAUUAUGUACAUAUUCAUAUUCAGCUUCUAUAUCUGUGUAGAGGUACUUAGAAGUAAGAGAAAACAUAUCUGGUUAUUUUUCAAUUAUGUUUUUGUGACGUUUGCCAGAAUUGUUAAUUUCAUUAAACUGCGUUACCCACUCCAGUCAGCAGAUGGCGAUGUGACUUUCAGGUGAUGCUUCUUGGUGACGUGUAUUCUAGUGGACGGGACGUGAUGUUUUUUCAACAACAACACGGCUACUGAUUCAACCACCUCGCUAGCUUGCAAAGGAUGGCUGCUGGACGGAGAAAGAACCUCUGGGGCUGAACAUUGUCGUGAAAGAAUUAGAGGAUAUUCGAGUGAAAGAAGAGGAGAAUAUUACAGUGAAAGGACAGGAAGAAGCUUUCAGAAUAAAACAGGAGGCAGAGGAGGAAGUGGGAGUCCCAGACCAGAGUGGGAAAGUUGUUUGCAGGAAAUCUGUUGGUGCCAUCAGCGGUCUUCCUUACUGGCGGGCUCCCACUUCACUUUUGUGGAAACAUGUCACCUCCUCAGCCUGGUGACAAUGUCACUGCCACAGUUCUCAAAACAACUGCGCAGCCACAUGUGGACCCAGCACACAGAGGCCAUUCUGGCUACAAUUGGUGACAGUCCACUAAUCGUAUCUGGAGACGCACGGUGUGAUUCGCCAGGCCAUUGUGCCUCUUUUGGCUCUUACACCAUCCUGGACUCUGCUCCCCACCUGAUCCUCCUCCAGGAGACUGUUCUUCCUUUGGCUCUUACACCAUCCUGGACUCUGCUCCCCACCUGAUCCUCCUCCAGGAGACUGUUCUUCCUUUGGCUCUUACACCAUCCUGGACUCUGCUCCCCACCUGAUCCUCCCCCAGGAGACUGUUCUUCCUUUGGCUCUUACACCAUCCUGGACUCUGCUUCCCACCUGAUCCUCCCCCAGGAGACUGUUCAUGUGACUGAAGUGAAGAACAGCUAGUGUUUCCAUUGCCCUUUAAUCAGGAUUUAAAUGUUGUUUUUGCUAAACUCAUUUUGCAAAAAGAUAGGGAUUAGGAUAGUUUUAAUGCUGAAAAUCAGGAUUAUCUUGAUCCCACUGCAAGGUUGGAUUUAGAAAGGUGUUAGAAAGGUGAAAUGUACUACAACCAUUUAUAUGUAACUAAGGUGAGGAGGUUUAGAAAACAUUCUUACAUCUGAAAACCAAAGGUUCAUUGUGUUAAAUUGACUCCAGUAAAGGUAUUUGGUCAGUUGGUAUAUUGAGAAGUGAUAGGUUCUAUUAUGUUUCAUCAAGGUAUCUUUAUUCAUGUAGUUUACAAGUGGCGGUAGGUAGUUUAGUGGUUAGAGCGUUGGGCCAGUAACCGAAAGGUUGCUAGAUCGAAUCCCUGGGUAAAAGUCUGUUGUUCUGCCCCUGAACAAGGCAGUUAACCCACUGUUCCUAGGCUGUCAUUGUAAAGAAGAAUUUGUUCUUAACUGACUUGCCUAGUUAAAUAAAAAAUAAAAUAAUCUGUGUAGAAGUAGUACCACAAUUUGUCCAGUAGAUGGUGAAGUGGCCAAAACUCUGAAAACACAGAUUAUUUGAUAUUGUGGUGUCAGUUUAUUUUCUGAAAAAAAUUGUUACAAAAUACAGAAUCUGGAUCAUUCUGAUUCAGAUUAAACGUUUCUUUAAAAAAAAUAAACUGGCCCCUGGAUUCAGGGCCUGGGAGACCAUGAGGGAAGAUGUCACCACGAGGAGGCCUUCUCAUUACCACCCCUACCGUACCAUGUGUUUGUUAUAAAUAGCCAUUAUACAACGUGGUCCAGCGAUUCCUUUCAUUGAUACGGCCCAGGCAGCAGCCUGCCUGUGACAGGAAUAUGGUCACAUCUAGAUGUUAAAAAUAACUUUUAAAAAACAAUGAGCUAUUAUUCUAAGAGUAUUUAUUAAUUGUGGAGGGAAUUUAGACGCAGUUUCCGCACAUAUUCUGACGUUGAACUGAAGUAGAAGGAAACGCAUGUGCCAGACGGAUAUUUGUUUGGAGUGGAGAUCGCAGAAAUGGAGGCGUGGCAGGGGUGUGUCUACAGAUAAGUGUAUUCUGACCGUCUUCAUUCCCUCAUAAUUCCACCACCUUUACGUGUGAGCAAACCAUGAAUAAAGUUGAGCAACCAGUAGGUUCCAAGUGGAAAAACAUCUACUUUCUUUUUUUCCGAUAGAAAUAACACAAUUCUCCAUGCACUGCAAUUUACAAAUUGCGUGAGAUAAUGAGCAGCAUUACUUCCGGUGAUUUGGACAAUUCACGACGUUGCAGGCGUUAGCUUCUUUCACAUUUCGGAAGGGGAUGGGACAUCUGGCCUGUGACUUGCACAAAGAGAGGUAAAUUCCACACUUUGUUUCGUGUGUGUGUACGCGCGCGUCCAUAUCUAUGUGUCAUUUAUAUAAUCGUGCUAUUUGGAUCAAUUAGAUAGCCAGCUAACUUCAAUAAAGAAUUCAAGAUAUCUGUUGAUUUUCUGGCUCAUUGGGAAACUUAGAUAUAGUUUUUUGCCAUAUCUACAGUAAAAUAUUAUUAGUUACAGCCACAUAAAUAUAUAUAUAGACGUGAGAAGGAAUGUUGUUUUUUACUUUAAAAAAAAAACAGAACAUUGUACAAAUGGCAGCAACAUGCUGAACAGUACAACUAGCAUUUGGGUAUUACAAUUGGCAAAAUAAAAUAAACAACAGAUUUUGAAAUUACUUGUUAUGAUAUUGCUUGCCAUGAUAUUGCUUGCCAGAACAAACACAACAUAGUGAAUAUUUUCAUAAACUGCGUUACCCACUCCAGUCCGCAGAUGGCGAUAUGCGUCUUUCAGGUGGCGCUUCUUGCGUGACGUAUAAACUAGUGGACGGAACAGGACGCUUCUUCAACAACAAACGGCUGAUUCAACCACCUCGGUAGCUUGCUUGCUAACAUAAAACCGAAACAUUGAAGCUCAUUGGGUUUGUAUUAACAUCAGUGUUUUAAACAUACUGUCUGCGUCUUUACUAGUUACUCAAUUUAAUGUGUACGUUGUUAGUCAGCUAGCUGACUGGUUAAAUUAGCCUAGCACUAGGCUAGUCGCUAAUGCUAACUA
rnacentral:lncRNA from 8 species